GGAGGGGCAGCCUCGCCGGAGAGAGGCGUCACCUUUGUCGGAGAUAGGCGGCGCAAAUCUAGAAGAUAGGGUUUGAAGAGUUGAUGGGGGCGGUGAGCCGAGGCACGGCGGCAGAGGCGACGACCUAGCUGCUGCCGGAGAGGUGAAGGGGAAGAGGGGCGUAGGUCGGGUCCGAGCCUCGCCGGAGGAGGAACCACGCCGGGGAAGAGGGGAAGGGGAAGGGGAAGAAGGGCGUAGGUUUGAUGAGAGAGAAGAGAGAGAAUUUUAUGGUUAAUUGUCUUUAAUUAAGUUUAAAGUGAGGAGAGUUUUUAAUUAUUGAGGUGGGUCCUCAAUGGCAAAUGAAGUAAAUACAUAAAGUUAUAAAGGGUAUAAUUGUAUAAAAAGUGAAACAGGACUUUUUUUUGUGGACAAAAAAAAGAGGGGAAAUGGGACUCUUUUUCGUGGACGGAGGGAGUA
rnacentral:lncRNA from 1 species